CGGUUAGAAGGCUGCUACUCCCUGCAUUCUGCAGGCGGAGCUCUGAGAAUCAAAGCAAGGUACCCCAGGUCUCACAGCUAGUGCAGUUGUGCGUGGCUGCCCCGGGAGAUGGUUUCAUGAAGCAGAAACCUGUCCUUCCUGUGGCAGUUAGGUGCCAGGACCACUCUCAACCCCUGUGGUCUUCUACCAGAUAUCCAUUUAGAGAUGAGACCCUUCCUGCCUCCUCCUUGCUAAUGGACCCAUUACACCAACAAGUCUAUCAAAAGUGGGGACUCUCAGGGAACUUGCCAGCGAAGGAGUGGCUUUAAGAUGGAGCCAAACAAUAUGUGGAGGCCAAAAUAUGAGCUCAGUAACAAACUGGGAGACCAGCCCCCCUAAGUAGAUGAAGGUGUCAGGAGAGAUGAAGGUGUCAGGAGAGAUGAAGGUGUCAGGAGAGCAGAGGUCAUGUGUGAACAAGGGUGGAUGUGCUGCACCUCUCUUCCUGCCAUUUCUGCAUGUAGCUCUUCUCACGUCCUGCAGGGCCUGCUCUCCAUCCCUUUUGAGGCCUGCAAGCCAGAGCCACCCCUGGUUGGCUCCUUCACUCAGGCACAUCCUCCACUGUGCUCUCAAGCCAGCCACAGUACCUUUACCACCAUCUGUGGCAGUCCUAAGGCCUCAGAAAAGGGCACUGGCUCGGGACGGCUCCCAGGGAAAGCUGUAUCUCUUCCCCAGGUGCUGAGAGUGGCAGCGGUGACCUAGAGGCCGCUAAUUUCUCCUCCAAGCAAUCACACCGGUCUGACCCACGUUUCCCACGAGCACGCGGCGAUGAGCUCUGCCAAAUGCUUGUUUAUAUCAACAGGCCUAUUGUGUUUCCCUUAACCACCAAGCCUUUUAUCCCGUGGAGGGGAAGAAAAGCGAGUUAAUUUGACGUGAUUCGUCUCUGACACGUCCACAUUGUCUACUUUUUUUCUUUCAAUCCCUGCGUUUCCUCUGUGGCAUGAUGUGCCAUGCAGGAGCACAAUCUCUGGCGUAAAGCCGAGCGCCUGGGGAAGUGAUUCAGGUGAGAGUCAGGAGGCCUAGGUCUGGGUGUGCGAGGCCCCUUUGCUCUGCUUAGCCACCUGCCAACCGUUUCUUGGCCUUGUUUGUAAAGGGGAUGAGGUUUGAAUAGCUCCAUCUGCACCCCCUCUUCCCCGUGCUACCUUAGGACCCUUCCAAGCAAGAGUGACAGUCAGCCUGCGUGAGUACUCAGUGACGCUGAGCGGAGCAGGCCGGCUCCACUGGGAGCUGUCCGUAUGGCUCUAAACCGUUCCAGCAGGUCCAUGUCCACGUUGCCGGUCCUGUGAUCUGGAACCCACUCCACUUUUCCUCACAUUCCUCCAGUCUCCCUUCCCAGCCUUUCCCUCCCAAUCCAUUCUUCAUCUCACUGCCAAGAUAAUCCUUCUCAAAGCUUCCCCCUCACAUGAGUAUUCUACUUAGAACAUCUGGUAGCAGCUUCCUGCUGCCUCCCUAGCAGGCUGAAGGCUCCUCUCUCUCCCCAAGUAUCUUCUUUCUUCACUGAGGUUCUGGGUCACUUUCAUAACAUGCCAGCCUCCUCGCUGAGCCAUUGUGCUCUGUCCCCAGUGCUCUUCCCUGACUCUUAAAUGACCUUCAGAUCUCAGCUCAUGCUGCCUCAAGGAACUGCUCCAAUCCAGUGGUUCUCGACUUGUGGGUCGUGACCUCUUUGGGAGUCAAAUGACCCUUUCACAGGGGUCACAUAUCAGAUAUCCUGCAUAUCAGAUAUCUACUUCACGAUUCGUAACAGUGGAAAAUUACAGUUAUGAAGUAGCAAAUCAUUUUAUGGUUGGGGCUCACCCUAACAGGAGGAACUGUAUGAAAGGGCUGCAGUGUUAGGAAGGUUGAGAACGACUCCCCAUAUCCUUUCCUUAAGACUCUACGAGAGAGUUCUGCUCAGUGCUUUAAGAACCAGUUACCUCCUGAGUCUCCAGACUGUCAGUCCCAUAACAGAGUUCAGUCUUGAUGCCUGUCUGUGUCCUCAACCCGAUGUUUGCCACUUACUAUUCACUCAGUAAAUAUUUGCAGCGUGAUGUAAACUAAUCCUCUCGGGUGUAUUAAAACCUGAUUAUUACAUGGUAGCCAGCUCAUUGCUGUAGUAAUUUCUUAAAAUCAAACAAAAAUCAGCUGGGGGCAUAGCUCAGGUGCUCAGGUGCUUAACCAGCAUGAACAAAGUCCUAGGUUCAAUCCCCAGCACCACAUAAAACUAGGUGUGGUGGCACACCCCUGUGAUCCCUGCUCUUGGAAGAUGGAAACAGGAUCAAAAAUUCAAGGUCACUCUCAGGUAUAAAUCGAGUUUGAGGCCAGCCUGGGACAUGUUAGUCCCUAUCUCAAAUAAAUAAAUAAAAAUAGGCAUUUGUUCAAGCUGGAGCUACAGUUUGUCUCUGGUCUUCCUGGUAACCAAAGCCAAGAAGGGAAACAGUGACUUGCAUAACUGCUUCAGAUCUGCUACAAAACAUCUCUGUCACACAAGGGAAAGUAUCACCUCUUUUUCUUUCUCCAUUCCACUUGCAGUUUCAAGGGAGGGGCUACUCCAAAAGAGCCCUGGGACUCAUUGGCUAAUGUCACCCUUGGGUACAGUAAGCAAAGCCCACUCUCAUCGUGACUGAGGCGCCUCUGCAGGAAUCUGCACGUGUCCCUAUGAGAACUGCACGGGUCUUCCCCAUUCUACCCAGAGGUCCUGCAGCAGACUGAAUCACCAAUUAAGGAUUGCAAAAGCAUUGUAAAAGGUACAGUAUUUUGUGCCCUUAAUCUUAAUGCUUAAGAAGCAGAGGCAACGGGACCCCUGUGACCCAAGGCCAGCCUCAUCUAAACGGCAAGCCCAAUGCCAACCAGUGCUACACGCUACAGACUGAGGAACAGAGCAGCCAAGUUACUUCUAACACCAGCCAUCCAGAAAGUAACCUAGUGGAUAUGCCCAACGUCUGUCAGCUUUUGGAGUCUCCCCACGUCUACAUCCCAGUUUACAGCCAACUGUAGGAAUGACUACUGCCACCUCUGUCUUCUCACUAGGCUGGUAAGGCCAUCUGCAGUCACAAAGACGCAGGGCACAGUUAAACCCCAAUUCUGCAACCCAGGAACGAUGAGGACCAUUGCAAGCGGGCAGACCACACCGCAUCCCAACAGACCCUGCAUGUCAUACCUUUAAUUAGCAGUCACUGGGACUGCAGCCCAGAUGUAAUAAAUGAGAGUGGGUCAGAUGGCUGGCCUCAGGAAAGGUCCCCGGACACAGGACAAGGUUCAGUUCUCUAAUAGGAAAAACACGCCUGGCCUUUCCCAGCUCUCUGAAGAGUACUUUGGGCCUCUUAUUCAUGCUCAGGAUGGUAGCUGUGGGACACUGGAGAAAGACAUGCACCCCCUUAAUUAAAUCUGCCUUGUAA